GGCCCUAUAGUUCAAGGGAUAGAAUAGAAGUUUCCUAAACUUUUGAUUCCAGUUCGAGUCUGGGUGGGGCUAC
rnacentral:tRNA from 1 species